GUGAGGAAUAUUGGACAAUGGGCGCAAGCCUGAUCCAGCCAUGCCGCGUGCAGGAAGACGCAUCUAUGGUGUGUAAACUGCUUUUGUACGGGAAGAAACACUCCCUCGUGAGGGAGCUUGACGGUACCGUAAGAAUAAGGAUCGGCUAACUCCGUGCCAGCAGCCGCGGUAAUACGGAGGAUCCAAGCGUUAUCCGGAAUCAUUGGGUUUAAAGGGUCCGUAGGCGGUUUAAUAAGUCAGUGGUGAAAGCCCAUCGCUCAACGAUGGAACGGCCAUUGAUACUGUUAGACUUGAAUUACAAGGAAGUAACUAGAAUAUGUAGUGUAGCGGUGAAAUGCUUAGAUAUUACAUGGAAUACCAAUUGCGAAGGCAGGUUACUACUUGUGGAUUGACGCUGAUGGAUGAAAGCGUGGGGAGCGAACAGGAUUAGAAACCCUUGUAGUCC
rnacentral:rRNA from 1 species